rnacentral:rRNA from 1 species
AUUGAACGCUGGCGGCAGGCCUAACACAUGCAAGUCGAACGAGUGGCGGACGGGUGAGUAAUGUCUGGGUAACUGCCUGAUGGAGGGGGAUAACUACUGGAAACGGUAGCUAAUACCGCAUACCAUCGGAUGUGCCCAGCUGGGAUUAUCACGUGGGUGGGGUAAAGGCUCACUUAGGCGACGAUCCCUAGCCGGUCUGAGAGGAUGACAGGCCAAACUGGAACUGAUAGACGGUCCAGACUCCGAGGGGAGGCAGCAGUGGUGAAUAUUUGACAAUGGGCACAAGCCUGAGGCAGCCAUGCCGCGUGUAUGAAGAAGGCCGUCGGGUUGUAAAGUACUUUCAGCGGGGAGGCGUUACCCGCAGAAGAAGCACCGGCUAACUCCGUGCCAGCCGCCGCGGUAAUUC